AAGCGCUUCCUGGCUCCGCCCUCCCAGGUUUACUCCGAGAAUCGAAAGAAACUCUUCCUGCUCGGAGCCGGCGCGUGGUUCCGGCUCAGGAGCUGCUCGCUGCUUUCGUUUUGACCCUCCGUGGGCCCCCUCUAAGUCGGUUUCCCCAUGGUCCUGCGGAGUCACUCUGAGCAGCUUGCUUAACCUCUCUGGACUUGUUUACACCUCUCUGAAAGUGAGCCUCUUCCGACCGCGGGGGGCUGUUAGACUAUCAGUUUAGCAAACGGAUGUGGAAGUGAUUUGUGGGAGAAGAGCUGGAACGACAGAGACUGAAGGGCUUUUAUCUGUUCACUUGUUUCCUCAGCGUCUCCAUCAGCCAGGGACCAGAUGUCCCCAAGAUCACCCAGAAGCCAGAACUCGGCCCUGCCUUUAUGAUCCCUCCCCGAGGCCUUGUGCAAAGCAGGUGAGCACCCUGCGAGGAGCACCCCUGCAUAUCCCCGGAUGGUGUUCAAGAUCAUGACAAUGAGGAUAGGGACAGUGUUCCCACCGUGUAUUGAGUGCGCACAGAGAGGUUAAGCCUCCUGCCUGAGGUCACACAGUCAGGAAGUGGCAGAGUUGGGACUCAUACCAGGCAGUUGGGAUCCACAGCUGCUGCCCCCAGAAGCCCUCAAAAGGUAGAGAGUCACUGCUGGGCGAGGAAGACAGCGUGGCACAGUGGGUACAACCUGAAUCAUGUGCCAGGCAGGCUGGGCCUUCUGCCCCCAACUUGCUGGGUGACAUGGGCAAGUCCCAUUCCUUCUCUGGGCCAUGGGUUCUUCACCUAUGAAAAGGCAAUGUGGUUCUAAACCUAUUUCCCUAGAGCUGGGCCAUCAGAAAAAGAAGGGUGCCACAGCUCGUGGCUUCACUCCCAGAACCAGAUCAGGAGAGGCUGGGAAUUAGAGGCCUGGGCUCGGUCCUUAUGACCAGGCUGGUGUCCCUGAGCUCAGGGUUUGGCAUCUGUGUCCUGGGGCAGGCAAGGCUGGCUGGCUUG